rnacentral:rRNA from 1 species
AUUGAACGCUGGCGGCAGGCCUAACACAUGCAAGUCGAACGAGUGGCGGACGGGCGAGUAAUGUAUGGGAAAGUGCCUGAUGGAGGGGGCUAAGUAGUGGAACCCGUGGCUAAUACCGCAUACCACGCGAUGGGCCCACAGGGGAUUAGCUUGUUGGUGGGGUAACGGCUCACCAAGGGGACGAUCCCUAGCUGGUCUGAGAGGAUGACCAGCCACACUGGAACUGAGACACGGUCCAGACUCCUACGGGAGGCAGCAGUGGGGAAUAUUGCGCAAUGGGCGAAAGCCUGAUGCAGCCAUGCCGCGUGUAUGAAGAAGGCCUUCGGGUUGUAAAGUACUUUCAGCGGAGAGGCGUUACCCGCAGAAGAAGCACCGGCUAACUCCGUGCCAGCAGCCGCGGUAAUAC